GGUAAGCUUUGAAUUUAAUUUAUGGUAUUGGGCGUUGCAAUUUAGAGUUUUUAACAUGCAUUUAAAAUGAGCAACAAACUUUAAUAACCUUGUGCUUUUCCCCUUAUCACAGCAUUGCAGAAAGGACAGUACAGGCUGGUGGGGAAGAUGAUUGCCCUCUGCCUGGUGCAGGGGCAGGUCUCUCCGAGAUUCCUAUCACAGCGCCUCUACAGACAGGUUUGUAAGCUGUCCCCUCUUCCUGCCACUUUGGAAGAGGUGACAGAUUACAAUUUGAGGACCAAGCUCCAAAAGAUUGCAGAUGCCACACAUGUGGAAGGUGCCAGGGAGGCUAUGGAGGAGGCCACAGACGAGCUCUCCCUCAUGGGCUCCUUCUCCUUUGUGCGGAGCCUCCCGCAUAGGGAUGAGCUGCUGGGGGCAGCCCUCAACUUCCUCACAGAGGGCUGUAUUUUGACUGCUCUCAAUCAAUUCAAAGAAGGGUUGGAGACCUUCGGGAUUCUAGCUCUUUUGAGGAUCCACCAUGAGGAGCUCAAGGGGGUCUUCAUGGACACACCUGAGCCGCUGCUGGCCUCCCGGUUGGAGUCCACAUUCAUGACGUCCUACCUGUCUGAGCCGGGCUCCAAUCGGAGGAGGAAGGAGGCCAGGACCCUUAUAUAUUGGAGGGACUGGCUGAUCGAGG
ensembl:lncRNA